CCCUUAGAUGUUCUGGGCCGCACGCGCGCUACACUGAUGCAUUCAACGAGUUUCUUCCUGGUCCGAGAGGAAUGGGUAACCUUUUGAAAGUGCAUCGUGAUAGGGAUAGACUAUUGCAAUUAUUGGUCUUCAACGAGGAAUUCCUAGUAGACGUAGUUCAUCAGACUGCAUCGAUUACGUCCCUGCCCUUUGUACACACCGCCCGUCGCACCUACCGAUUGAAUGUUUCGGUGAAGAUUCCGGAUAGGACUUUUUUGAUUUAUUUCAAUUCUGUCUUAAAAGCUAUCUAAACCUCAACAUUUAGAGGAAGGUGAAGUCGUAACA
rnacentral:rRNA from 1 species